rnacentral:rRNA from 1 species
UUGGAGGGCAAGUCUGGUGCCAGCAGCCGCGGUAAUUCCAGCUCCAAUAGCGUAUAUUAAAGUUGUUGCAGUUAAAAAGCUCGUAGUUGAAUUUCGGGGUUAGUAGGUUGGUCAUGCCUCUAGUAUGUACUGGUCUCACUGAUUCCUCCUUCCUGAUGAGCCGUAAUGCCAUUAAUUUGGUGUUGCGGGGAAUUUGGACUGUUACUUUGAAAAAAUUAGAGUGUUUAAAGCAAGCUAACGCUUGAAUACAUUAGCAUGGAAUAAUGAAAUAGGACGUUCGAUCCUAUUUUGUUGGUUUCUAGGAUUGACGUAAUGAUUAAUAGGGAUAGUUGGGGGCAUUAGUAUUCAAUUGUCAGAGGUGAAAUUCUUGGAUUUAUUGAAGACUAACUACUGCGAAAGCAUUUGCCAGGGAUGUUUUCAUUAAUCAAGAACGAAAGUUAGGGGAUCGAAGACGAUCAGAUACCGUCGUAGUCUUAACCAUAAACUAUGCCGACUAGGGAUCGGAUGAUGUUAAUUUUUUAAUGACUCAUUCGGCGCCUUACGGGAAACCAAAGUGUUUGGGUUC